AUCUGUAGCUGGUUCUGAGAGGACGACCAGCCACACUGGGACUGAGACGCGGCCCAGACUCGUACGGGAGGCAGCAGUGGGGAAUUUUGGACAAUGGGCGCAAGCCUGAUCCAGCAAUGCCGCGUGCAGGAUGGAGGCCUUCGGGUUGUAAACUGCUUUUGUACGGAGCGAAAAGGCUCUCUCUAAUAAAGGGGGCUCAUGACGGUACCGUAAGAAUAAGCACCGGCUAACUACGUGCCAGCAGCCGCGGUAAUACGUAGGGUGCAAGCGUUAAUCGGAAUUACUGGGCGUAAAGCGUGCGCAGGCGGUUAUGUAAGACAGAUGUGAAAUCCCCGGGCUCAACCUGGGACCUGCAUUUGUGACUGCAUAGCUAGAGUGCGGCAGAGGGGGAUGGAAUUCCGCGUGUAGCAGUGAAAUGCGUAGAUAUGCGGAGGAACACCGAUGGCGAAGGCAAUCCCCUGGGCCUGCACUGACGCUCAUGCACGAAAGCGUGGGGAGCAAACAGGAUUAGAUACCCUGGUAGUCCACGCCCUAAACGAUGUCAACUGGUUGUUGGGUCUUCACUGACUCAGUAACGAAGCUAACGCGUGAAGUUGACCGCC
rnacentral:rRNA from 1 species